CCUGCACAGACAUGCAGGACGUCAGCAGAGGUCACAUGAUGGUCGGGGCUGAGCUUCAGUGCUUCGGAGGAACGGACACGACUGCGGAUGUGUUCUCACCAAGAGGCAGAGGGUCUGACUCCUGCUCCAGUUUAAAGCAGGCUCCUGCUGAUCUCACUGGGACAGUUUCCUGCUCUGUGAUGGACAGAGAAACCUCCAUGAUGAGCACUGCUGCUGACGAGCUGCUGGGGGCCACUUUCUCCAGGAUAAAGAUUUUGAACCACUAUAAAGAUCAGCUUACAGACCUGACUAAGGAGCUCAAGAAACUAAAGCCAAAAUAUAACAGGACAGGAUGUAUUAAGCUUUUUUCAAGGAGAUCAUCUUCCCCAUCGUCUUGUCCUAAAAUCACUGAAUCACUGGAGAAUCUCAAAAAGGUAGAAGGUGAAAUCAAUGAAGCCCAGCAAAAAAACGAGGAACUGUUUGAGAAGCUGAAGAUUUCUGCAAACAGCCGUGAGCACGUCAUGGAAGAAAUUGUGUCAGCAAUAGCAAAAAGACUUGAUUUCAAGAACCAAAUUAACUUCAGAUCAGCUUCAGCUCGAAGACUCAUCCAUGAAAUGUCUGGAUGUGAGUUUCAGCACAUCCUCGAAGGAAAAGUGGUGGUUGGAUCUGUACAUGGUGGAAAGGAGUUGCCACUUCCUGAAGUCAUUCAAAUGUUGAGAGAAUUAAUCUGGAAGAAUCAUGUGACCGAAGCCAGCGAAUCACUGAGAGCUGCAGCUGACAAGAUCAAAGAGUUCAUCUCAGACCUUAAGCUGGAAUUCAACUACAUUGUAGACAAGGUGAUCAAGCUAGCUCAACAAGCAGGUGAAGAACAGUCUGCCUCUCAAACAACGACUGGUGGUGACAACGAGGAAGAAAGUAAUCAACCAAGUCAGAACUUCUUACCUGAAGUUCAGUUCACCUGACACUCGGACCGGCGGCCGCCUCGGGUCUCUGCUCCUCCGUCCUCCCCUUUCCCUCAUCCACCUGCUGGCCUCUGUGGAAGCUCCACCAGAGAAACCAAACAACUGAGUUAUUUUUACAGAUCUGCCAGCAUCUGGCCAAUCCACCACCUCUCAUUGUUCAUGCCCUUACAAAAAUAAAUAAAUAAAUAAGUCAUCAGCCCACCGGCAAAUACCCGGUAUGCCUGAUGGCCAGUCCAGCUAUGUCAACCUGUUAAUCUUUCGCCGAAAAAUUGUUUUGUGCGGUGCCUCUUUCGUGCUUGUGUAACCAAUACGUCUACUCACCAAAGAAUGAGUGAAGCAAUAUGGAUAACAGCAGAGGACAAUUUAUUUAGGGUCUGAUGGCAAUUUACCAUCGGUGUCCAGCACUUUAAAGGAUUGAUGGACUGGAGCACAUCCGUCCUUAACAUACCCUCUU
ensembl:lncRNA